UGAAGAAAUUGAUUAUCUCUUUCGGCCGUCGGAGAACAAAGGCGUACGCUUCGAACAGUUCUGGGCUACAUGUCAAGCAGUGAAGGUGGGUUAAGUUAAACAGAGGAAAGGGACUUUUACGAUUGGCAUCGGGCUUUUGGAGGCCUGCUUAAGUAAAUGUUGGUUCAACUGGCUGAUUUUGAAGCACGAAUUGGACUUCUAAAAGAGGCUUAUAGUAUUUUGGAGCAAGAAGAGGGAUGUUGCUCAUGGCCCCGUGGCCUUUGUAAUCAUGCUUUAAUUUUCAAGAAAUGUUAUUUGCACUUUUAUUUUUGUGUUUACUGCAGUAUGAGACUGAUGGCUCAAACGACUACAACAAUUUUCAGCCUGGUUCCCUGAAUACUACUUUGCAGCUGAUUAAAGACAUAAAGAACAUUGAUAUAGUUUUCCAUAUUGGAGAUAUUUGUUAUUCUAGUGGGUAUAUUUCCCAGUGGGAUCAAUUUACUUCUCAAAUUGAGCCGAUUGCUUCAAGAGUACCUUAUAUGAUUGCGAGUGGAAACCAUGAGCGUGACUGGCCUGACUCAGGUUCAUUCUACGGUUACAUGGAUUCAGGAGGAGAAUGUGGAGUGCUGGCUGAAACAAUGUUUUACGUUCCUGCUGAGAACAGGGCCAAGUUCUGGUAUUCUACCGACUAUGGCAUGUUUAGGUUCUGCAUAGCUGAUACUGAACAUGAUUGGAGAGAAGGAACGGAGCAAUACAAAUUCAUUGAGCACUGCCUGGCAUCUGUAGACAGACGGAAGCAACCUUGGUUGAUCUUUUUGGCACAUCGUGUUCUUGGUUAUUCUUCAAGCUUUUGGUAUACCUACAGAGGAACAUUUGCAGAACCAAUGGGAAAGGAGGAUCUUCAAAAACUUUGGCAGAAAUAUAAAGUUGACAUUGCCAUUUUCGGGCAUGUUCAUAAUUAUGAACGAACAUGUCCCAUAUACCAGAAUACUUGUACAAACAAUGAGAAGCACUUCUACAAGGGCAUCUUAAAUGGGACUAUACACGUGGUUGCUGGAGGAGGAGGGGCAGGCCUUUCUGACUUUUCUAGCAUUGUACCUUUGUGGAGCAUCUACAGGGACUUUGAUUAUGGAAUUUCCAGGGGCUACAGAGAUAUCUUGGCUUGCACAGUGGAUAGCUGCUCAAGUAAGACCCUGACAUUUUGAGUGGGAUUAUUCAAGUGGUGCCCAGCCAGAAAAACGAUAAAUGGCACUUCAAGCCACAAGCAGCGUUCAGACAAACCCCUGGCCAUUUACGGCCACAUUUUCCAUGUAAGGCACUUGGAAAAAUGGCUUACCCAGGCAAAAUGAGAGGGGGGAAAAAAGGAAAAAAUGGCCGGAAGAUCAUCUUGUUUGGCAAAUUGUACAACAAUUUUGAGCAUACUCUUCUCUUGAUUCAAGGGUUUUUCUAUUUUUAAGUUUCUCUCAAGUUUGUUAUGUUCUAAGCCACUUACUUAUGGCAUCCUAAUGGUCCAAUUUGACGAAAAAUAACAGAAAUUUUGCAGUCAGUUGUAAGGCGGUUUUGUUUUUCAAGGAAGAAGGGAAAACGUAUGGAUUUAUGGAUUGUGGCAGCAGCUGCUGGUGCCGGCUAUCUGGGCAAACACCUGCAGAACUUAUCACUGAGUGAGAAGGAAAAAUUAGUGGAAUCCUAUUCCAAAAUCUCAAACCUCAGGCAAUCAGAACCCCAGAAUUUUCUUCAGCAAAUUAGGGACAACACUUGUCCUUUACGCAGAUUGGCACAAAAAGAUGCACAUAUGGAAGCUGCUUCCGAGCAAAAUGAUGUUUUGGACAGGCCUUUGGAAAUGGAUCAAUUUAACGGUGGUUCAGUUUCACUACUUACAAGGGCAUCCAUCAGUGGAAGUGUUAGAAUGGUGGAAGAUAUGAAUGUACUAAAGUUAUCUAGUCCAGCACCCGGACUUGGCGAAAGCAAAAGCUGUUCAAACGAUAUGGAGUUUAUGUAUGGUAGUAGUCGGAGUUCUGCAAGACUUAGCAGGUAUGAAUUACUUAAAAGUAGGUCUUCCGGCUCCGGGCAUGUUCUUGAACCUUUAGGUUCUGUAGAAAAUCAUCUUCAAAAGAUAGGUGACUCUGCGCAUAGUUCACUUCCAACACCGCUUGCUCCAACAAAAGGACUAAUGUUGGUAUCUAAUGGAGAUCGAAUUUUGAGACGAUAUAUUGGUAAUUCACUUGAUUCAUUGUCUACUGAUGUGGAAGAUAACCCGAGUGAUGCCUGCCAUAACGACAGUUGUGCCUUUUCGAGUGCUCCAUCCUUUUAUGACACUGAAUCAGUCGAGUUGCAAGAGCAGGUCAAACGAAAAAGUUCCCAAGAAAAGUUGCUUGGCGGAGCAGAUCAGUCAUCAGGUUCUUCUGCUUGUUCUGCAGUGAUGAAAUUAUUUGGUGUCUAAUUCUCUACUGAAUCCUUUAUUUCUGCAGGGAUGUUUAAACUGAAUGCUUGUCCUAUUGACUGUUAAGAAAUGUAAAUAUGGAACAUUCACGAUUAAGAAACGUAGAUAGUACAAUGUGUUGGUGUGUUCUUUUACACUCUUUAAUUUUGUUAUUCCUUUUAUCACAAUGUCAUCAGAGCUACCCAGCGGGAUGCUCCUGUUCUUGAUUGGGUUGACAAUUGGCAUAACGCCUGAAGUUUUUACUUAUACAAGGGAAGUUAAGAAGCUGAAUGAGAAACUAAAACUGGCCGAGAAUUUAGUUCAAGAUUUACAGGAGGAGCUUGAUAUGAAAGAUAAGCUUACUGUGAAGGAGCUUGCCGGGGAAAUUUCUCAGCCUCUGAGCACAAAGAAUCUCUCUUCAUUCAAUGAGGAGCCUACUGUGUCGUGCUCUGAUCCAGGUGAUGACAGCAAAUUGUCCAUGAGUAAAAUUGAGGCAGAACUUGAAGCUGAGCUGGGGAGGCUGGGAAUACAUAUGGAUCUGGAAAGAACAUCCGACUUUGGGGAGGAAAGCAUUUUUUUUUUCUGAAACGAUAAAAAUUUUAUAUCAUUGUAAACUGUACAAAUUUGGAGCAAAGGCUCCUAUCUUUACAAAAGUGCAUUUAGCACUAUGUAGUGGCGUAGUUCCACUCCAUGUCACAAAAAUUCAAAAGAGCAAUUUUGCUCAAACUAUAGCAUAAGCUAUCAGUAUCUUCAUUCUAAC